GACGGAGGAUGCAAGUGUUAUCCGGAAUCACUGGGCGUAAAGCGUCUGUAGGUGGUUUAAUAAGUCAACUGUUAAAUCUUGAGGCUCAACUUCAAAAUCGCAGUCGAAACUAUUAGACUAGAGUAUAGUAGAGGUAAAGGGAAUUUCCAGUGGAGCGGUGAAAUGCGUAGAUAUUGGAAAGAACACCGAUGGCGAAAGCACUUUACUGGGCUAUUACUAACACUCAGAGACGAAAGCUAGGGUAGCAAAUGGGAUUAGAUACCCCAGUAGUCCUAGCCGUAAACAAUGGAUACUAGAUGUUGAACAGAUCGACCUGUGCAGUAUCAAAGCUAACGCGUUAAGUAUCCCGC
rnacentral:rRNA from 1 species